rnacentral:rRNA from 1 species
UACGUAGGGCGCGAGCGUUGUCCGGAAUUAUUGGGCGUAAAGAGCUCGUAGGCGGUUUGUCGCGUCGGGAGUGAAAUCCACUGGCUUAACUGGUGGCUUGCUUUCGAUACGGGCAGACUGGAGGUAUGCAGGGGAGAACGGAAUUCCUGGUGUAGCGGUGAAAUGCGCAGAUAUCAGGAGGAACACCGGUGGCGAAGGCGGUUCUCUGGGCAUGUCCUGACGCUGAGGAGCGAAAGUGUGGGGAGCGAACAGG